rnacentral:rRNA from 1 species
AGCAGCCGCGGUAAUUCCAGCUCCAAUAGCGUAUAUUAAAGUUGUUGCAGUUAAAAAGCUCGUAGUUGAAUUUCGGGACUAAUAUGUCGGUCGUACUUUGUACGUACUAACAUUAUUGGUUUCUUCCUUCUGACGAACCACGAUGUCAUUAAUUUGGUGUCGCGGGAAAUCAGGACUGUUACUUUGAAAAAAUUAGAGUGUUUAAAGCAAGCUCGCGCUUGAGUACAUUAGCAUGGAAUAAUGAAAUAGGACGUUUGAUUCUAUUUUGUUGGUUUCUAGGAUCGACGUAAUGAUUAAUAGGGAUAGUUGGGGCAUUAGUAUUCAAUUGUCAGAGGUGAAAUUCUUGGAUUUAUUGAAGACUAACUACUGCGAAAGCAUUUUGCCAAGGAU